rnacentral:rRNA from 1 species
GAUGAACGCUGGCGGCGUGCUUAACACAUGCAAGUCGAACGAUGAAGCCCGGCUUGCUGGGUGGCUUAGUGGCGAACGGGUGAGUAACACGUGAGUAACCUGCCCUUAACUCUGGGAUAAGCCUGGGAAACUGGGUCUAAUACCGGAUAGGAGCGCCUACCGCAUGGUGGGUGUUGGAAAGAUUUAUCGGUUUUGGAUGGACUCGCGGCCUAUCAGCUUGUUGGUGAGGUAAUGGCUCACCAAGGCGACGACGGGUAGCCGGCCUGGGAGGGGGCCCGGCCACACUGGGCCUGAGACGCGGCCCAGACUCCUCCGCGAGGCAGCGGUGCGGAAUGUUGCACGAUGGGCUGAAGCCUGAUGCAGCGACGCCGCGUGGGGGAUGACGGCCUUCGGUUUGUAAACCUCUUUCAGUAGGGAAGAAGCGAAAGUGACGGUACCUGCAGAAGAAGCACCGGCUAACUACGUG